UUUCAACGGCGUUGCCAAAACAUUAAUUAAAAUAAUAGAAAUAACUACACUUAAUUAUUAUUUUUAUUACAGCAAAUAGCAUUUAGUCAUGCACAACAAUUCUUCUCCAUACCUCCCUAUAUUUUAUAGACCCUUGUCUCAUUUCCUUCACACAAAGUAAAUGCCAACUAAUGGCCAGCCAAGAAAAUUACACUUGUCCCUAGUACAGCCCACAAGAGACACAAGUUGAGGCAUGCAUGCAAGACUAACCACGCAUGCAUGCCAGCUGCAAUGCCUCUCCAAACCGACAUAGCUAUUCACCCCACUAUAAAUAGGAGCCAUCCCUUUCACUCUAGCCACACACAAUCAUCCGUUGGAGAAAACCCUCUGCCUUUUCACCUUCUGCCACACUGCUAUCCUCCCCUGCUGUGAGGCUCUUUGGGUUGCAUGCGCCACCAGGUAGUAAUCAAGUACCUUCUUGUGUUAGCCCUUCUUGCUUGAUUUCUUAUCUAUCUCCACCUCGGUUUGAAUCAGUCCAUAAGCAUCUAUUCACCUUGAUCUAUUUACCUUGCAGUAAAAAGAACAAAAUGUUUGCGUAAACACCCAAGUUAGUCAAAACUAAUUAGAUCAAUUGCAAAAGCUUGUAAAAGUUUUUGUGAAUGACAUCCGUGGCUUGUACUAGAUCUAACAUGCCAAGAGUCAAAUCCUAGGUACUAGUAACUUGCUAAGACAUGUAUGUAUGUAUCCAAAAGAUCAACCUUCCUGUGUAUACAACCUUUUCCUAUUUAUUAAUCCCUGUCAAUCUGUAGCAAACACUGAGAGAUUGAUGUUUAUAAUCUACUCACAAGUAAUUAUUAUUUUUGAGUUUCACUGCCACUAUUUACUUCUAUAUGGUGUUCAAGGAUGAGUAGCACUAGUUAGGAACAACAUUUAGAUCUAAUCAGUAGCAAUACCAUGACCACACCAUAGAUUAAAUCUUGAUUAAUUUCGUGGCCUUGAGAUAAACAAAGAGAAAGAAGGCAAUAUGGCUGAGAGGGGAAUAGUAGGGCCUGAGAUAAAAUGAACAAUAUAUGCACAUCCACGUUCAUAUAUAGCAGGCACAUGUUGUGAAAUUUGAAGCACUUCAUGGAGAAGGAAUCAGGAUUAGUACUUACCAGUAGUAGCAGUAGGAUGUGGCUACUCCACACCGUUAGCAGCAAAGCCAUGGCAACCGGGCAGCACCGGUGAAGCCGCACACGCCCGACGCCCGUGGCUGCGCACCUUGUGCGUGUGGCUGCGCUGGGGGAGGAUGUAGGCAUGGAGACAUCGUUGCCGCUGCAGCCGGUGGCAAGCCCACCGGACCUGGAUCAGGCAGCGCUAGGAUUGAGUGGUGGCGACGUUUUUGGCGGCGGCAGAUCAAAUAAAUAGGGGGAAAUGGUAGAGGGAGACGAGGGGAAUCUGUAGGUGUCCGCCGUGUCACCGGAGAUGCCCGGACGGGGCAGAUUGAGGCGACGGCGGCCGUGCUCUAUUCUUGGGGGGGGAGAGAGGUGAGCGGGCUGGUUCUGUUCGUGGGAUAGCAGAGAAGUUGAGUAGUCUUUCUGGAUAGACACGGGCUAGGGCUUAACCAGCGAAGUA
rnacentral:lncRNA from 1 species